rnacentral:rRNA from 1 species
UACGUAGGGUGCAAGCGUUGUCCGGAAUUAUUGGGCGUAAAGAGCUCGUAGGCGGUCUGUCGCGUCUGGUGUGAAAAUCCAGGGCUUAACCCUGGACCUGCAUCGGGUACGGGCAGACUAGAGUGCGGUAGGGGAGAUCGGAAUUCCUGGUGUAGCGGUGAAAUGCGCAGAUAUCAGGAGGAACACCGAUGGCGAAGGCAGGUCACUGGGCCGCAACUGACGCUGAGGAGCGAAAGCAUGGGGAGCGAACAGG